UACGGAGGGGCCAAGCGUUGUUCGGAAUUACUGGGCGUAAAGCGCACGUAGGCGGCUUUGUAAGUUAGAGGUGAAAGCCCAGGGCUCAACCCUGGAAUUGCCUUUAAGACUGCAUCGCUAGAAUUGUGGAGAGGUAAGUGGAAUUCCGAGUGUAGAGGUGAAAUUCGUAGAUAUUCGGAAGAACACCAGUGGCGAAGGCGACUUACUGGACACAUAUUGACGCUGAGGUGCGAAAGCGUGGGGAGCAAACGGG
rnacentral:rRNA from 1 species